GGUUCUGAAAUGAAGUUAGAAAAAGGAAAAAAGAAUGCGAAAAAUCAAGACAAGGAUGCUCUUCAUCAAGAAUCUAUCAUAGAUACAUAGAUUUUGUAUAAUUGAAAAUCUUUUAUCCUAAAAAUGAACUACAUUUCCCAGGAGUCCACUGACUUCUUGUCAUUAUGUACUUCUUGUACAUGAGGAAUAUCAGGUGGGGAUGUGGAAGGUCCUGCCUCUUUACUUCUUGUCCCAAGCUUGGUGGUGGUAAGGCAGGCAUUUGAACUAGCUGAUCAGUCAUGGGCACAUGGUCUUUAUUUUGUAAUUCCUUGAUUUCUAAUGAUCAUUCGUAAACUUCCAAAAAUACAUAAUUUUUAUUAUUGAGGCUUAAUUUUAAUUUUUAUAGUUUUUGGCAACCAGAAGGGAUGAGAAAAAUUCUCAAUUUUUUAAAAUAGUCUAGAUAUAUUUUUAAGCCAUGUUUCUCCUGCCAAGUCUUUUUGCCACCCAAACCCCACCCCACUUAUCUCUGGAACUCCCAGAGAACUCGAAAUUCUCUACCUGAGCUCCUGCCCCACUCUUGCCAGUUUUGUUUGUUGGGUUUUUUGCUUUAUUUUUGUUUUUCUUUCCCUGUUUUUUUUUGGUUGCCCACCCUACUGGCUACUACAAGUUUGAAGAACUUAGCCCAGGACUCUUGCCAGAGAAAAGAUAAGCCACUUCUUUCACCCAUCUGCUUGAGCCCAUGUUCCUCAGUUCCUUGCUGCUGCCUCUGGCACUGCUACUCCUGAUUCUGCUUGCUCCUGCUGUUAAAUCCCAGCGGGCUGCUUCUCUUCCUGAUACUGCUUGCUCCUACUCCUGAAUCCUCCUCCUGAUCUCCGGCCCCAACCUCAACUACUGUUGUUUUCCUGUUUGGCUGCUGCUGAGAAGCUAGGAGUCCUUGGACCCACUCUCUGAGAAGUUGGUAAAAACUGGGGCGUAUUUUCCUUAGGCAAUGAUUAGCCUCCUAACUCCCUCUGCAUGUGGCUGGGGAAACUAGUGUUUUACCUCAGAGGGAAGGGAAGAAGAAAGUUACUCUAACAACAGGAAGUAAAUUAUAAGCAUGGCUCAUUUAUUGAAAGACCAAUGCAUUACCUAUUUCAAACAGCUUCCACUUUUAGGAUGUUUUUUUCAUGAGUAUACAGAUCCUUUCACUUAUCUUGCCUAAGAUUCAGAGAAAACCCAUCUCCCUAAAACCCUUUGCCAUUUGGGCCUGCCAAGUCUCUAAGAUUCAUCCAAUUUGGGAUUCCUCCUCACCAUGUUCAGAGAGGAAUUCUCCCUCACUAGGGGAGAGCCAAAAAAAUCUGAGAAAAGGAAUCUGGAUGGAUAGAGAAAGGAACUUUAAAGAAUUGAAAGAGUACGGCAACUUCCUGUAGUCUUGGCUGCAAAUGGAUGAGAAGCCUGGGUCCUUAAAGAAAUGAAGUAUCCCAUCCAAGAUUAUCAAGCUCUUAGUUUGUCAUUGUUCCCUCUGAGUGUCCUCCCUGGGCUCUGAGGGCUCCUGAUGGGAUUAUGUUCAGCUGGUUUGGGCCAAAUGAGCCCUGAAGCAAAAAACCUCCUCCUCCACAAUCUGUGUUGAAUACCCAGAGACUGGCCCAGGUUGCUUUCAAGAUCACCUAUGAGGAGGAACACAAAUGAGAGACAUCAGGGACCUGCUUCUGGGAGAAGAUAUUCUACACUCUCAGACCUAGUGGAUGGGACCAGCCUCUUUCCACUGACUGUGUAACCAGAACCAGAUGCAUCUUUAAAAGUAUCACACUGGGAAAGUCUUGUUCUCUCCUUCUGGCACCAUCUUGAUCUGCUCCAGGUGCAGAUAGUGGGCCUAAGACCUGGAAGCUCAAGCCAUGAAGACCAUUUCUUUAAGGAGCACUUUGUAAUUUAAUCCAUAUAAUAUUUUGUGUAUUUUUGUAGGUUGGUUGUCAAAUACUUCAUGCAUUUUGGAGUUAUUUUAGAAUGGAAUUUCCCUGUCUAUUAUUGCCUCUUGGAUUUUAUUACAAAGAAAUUCUAUUGAUAUUUGAGGGCAUGUUUUAUAUAGUCUCCAAUUGAGCAGAAGCUGUUAAUUGUCUCAAUUAUUUUUAUGUUGAUUUCCACAAUUUUCUAGGUAAACCAUCAUAGAUCUGGAAAAUAGGGCUAGUUUUAUCUCCUAUUUACCUCUCUUUAUGCCUUUAAUUUCUAUUGUCUUAUUAGAACUAUAUAGAAUAAUACUGAGGAGAGUGAGUGUCCUUAUUCUACUCCUAUACUAUUGGAGAAAUUUCUAUAGUAUGUAUCCCCAUUGUGAAUGAUGAUUACUUUUGGUCUUAGAGAGAUAUUUUUUAUAAUAGUAAAAAUGAUCUCUCUCCCUAUAAUUUAAAGGAAAUUUUAGCAUAAAAGCGAACAGUAUUUUAUACAGUUUCUUCCUCCCUCAACCACAUCUAUUGAAAUAAUAAUACAGCUUUGGAUGUUUUUGUUUUUCAUGUAAUUAUAUUAUUUUCCUAAUAAAUAAUAAUGCAUACCUCACAUGAAUCCAAUUUGGUCUUGAUGAAUGAUUUCUUGAAUGAGGUAGUCAUGUUUGACAUGACUUAAAAGUUCUGAGUUUAUAUUUAUUAAAAUUAUUCACCAAUAG